rnacentral:rRNA from 1 species
UGAGGAAUAUUGGACAAUGGGCGCAAGCCUGAUCCAGCCAUGCCGCGUGCAGGAAGAAGCAUCUAUGGUGUGUAAACUGCUUUUGUACGGGAAGAAACACUCCUACGUGUAGGAGCUUGACGGUACCGUAAGAAUAAGGAUCGGCUAACUCCGUGCCAGCAGCCGCGGUAAUACGGAGGAUCCAAGCGUUAUCCGGAAUCAUUGGGUUUAAAGGGUCCGUAGGCGGUUUAAUAAGUCAGUGGUGAAAGCCCAUCGCUCAACGAUGGAACGGCCAUUGAUACUGUUAGACUUGAAUUACAAGGAAGUAACUAGAAUAUGUAGUGUAGCGGUGAAAUGCUUAGAUAUUACAUGGAAUACCAAUUGCGAAGGCAGGUUACUGGACCAUUUCUGACACUAAGGCACGAAAGCGUGGGGAGCGAAC